AAUUUGUAUAGGCAAUAAUAAUACAUAUAUGAAUUAUAUUAUUUUACUUUACUUCUCCUAAAGAUUUUUUACAUAAUAUUAAACCAUUUACUGCAAGUCAUAUGUAAAAAUAUAAGUUAUUAAAACCCUAACGCAGUUUUGUGAAAUAAAGGAAAAACUAUUUAAGAGAAAUUGUAAGAAAAUUAAGGUUCAAAUUGUAACUGAUCCCAUCCUUCCAAUCUCAUUUUAUUUUAUCAACGAUCAAAAUAUAUCACAAUAGUUUAUAUCAUAUUAUUAGAAUAACAAAGAAAUGAAAUAAAAGAAAGAUUGCUAUUCUAAUUGCUAUGGCAAUGGGGCAUGGUAUGCUUUCUGGAAGCAUUCAUAGUAAAAUACUUCUUUAAGAAUUCAAAAAUUUUUCUCUGUUAUUGCAUUUUAUGACUGCAUGUUGUUCAUUGUUUUAGCGGAAGACACCCUUAAGCACGCAGAUGUACAUUAGAAAAUAGAGAGAAAAAAA
rnacentral:misc_RNA from 1 species